GGUAUGGGAUGAGCUUGCGUCCGAUUAGCUAGUUGGCGGGGCAACGGCCCACCAAGGCGACGAUCGGUAGCCGGCCUGAGAGGGUGAUCGGCCACAUUGGGACUGAGAUACGGCCCAGACUCCUACGGGAGGCAGCAGUAGGGAAUAUUGCACAAUGGGGGGAACCCUGAUGCAGCAACGCCACGUGUGGGAAGAAGCAUUUCGGUGUGUAAACCACUGUCGUGAGGGAAUAAGGCCCAGUUUCGGCUGGGAUUGAAUGUACCUCGAAAGGAAGCACCGGCAAACUUCGUGCCAGCAGCCGCGGUAAUACGAGGGGUGCAAGCGUCGUUCGGAAUCACUGGGCGUAAAGGGAGCGUAGGCGGAGAUUCAAGCGGAUUGUACAAUCCCGGGGCCCAACCCCGGCUCUGCAGUCCGAACUGGAUCUCUUGGAUAGUUCAGGGGCAGGC
rnacentral:rRNA from 1 species